rnacentral:lncRNA from 1 species
CGAUCAACUAUUGGUAACAAAUGUACCUAUAGAAAUUUGUAGACAAAUGAAAUUAUUUUAUGACCUUUUCGGCAUACGAUUGAAUUUUCUGUGGAAAAGGAGCGUUUACUCAUAACACAGUAAUAAAGUGUUUAUUAGGUACCUGACAAACCGUAAUAAUAUACAAAACAGCAGGCUUUCGAAGCUCUUACCGACAAACCAUUAUAUCAGGCAAAUUUAAAAUGUUUAGGAAAUUGUACGUAAAAAUUUAUUGUUGACCGCUAAAAAGCGGUAUGAGGUUACUAAACCAUAUUCCAAUAAACGGAUAAAUUUAUUAAAGGGUAAAUGGAAACGUUUCGGGACUUCGAAUUUAUAUUCCAUAAACCGGGAUAUUCCUAUAACCGGUACUCUAAUAAGCGGGUUCGACUGUACUACGAUUGUUGUCAGUUACAUAAGAAAAAAUAUAUAAUUAUCGGCGAAAAAUGAUGCCUGGUCGACUUACUUCCAAUAUUGAUGAGGUUCAAGAAUUUGUGAAGAGGUGUGCUCAAAAAAUAACCAAGACCAAGAGGGAAAAUUUCCUCUUUAUAAACUGUGUCAAAAGUAGGAUAAUUGUAUUUAGUUGUGAAACAAAUAUAAGACUUUUAGCCACA